GACGAACGCUGGCGGCGUGCUUAACACAUGCAAGUCGAACGAGGUCCACUGCGUAGCAAUACAAGGGAAGACCUAGUGGCGAACGGGUGCGUAACACGUGAGGAACUUGUCCGGUCUCUGGGAUAACAGUUGGAAACGACUGCUAAUACCGGAUGACGUCGGAAUCUCGCAUGGGAUACUGACGAAAGGGUUACUGGAUCGGGAGAGCCUCGCGGCCUAUCAGCUUGUUGGUGAGGUAACGGCUCACCAAGGCAUCGACGGGUAGCUGGUCUGAGAGGAUGAUCAGCCACACUGGGACUGAGACACGGCCCAGACUCCUACGGGAGGCAGCAGUGGGGAAUCUUGCGCAAUGGGCGAAAGCCUGACGCAGCAACGCCGCGUGCGGGAAGAAGGCCCUCGGGUUGUAAACCGCUUUCAGUAGGAACGAAAAUGACGGUACCUGCAGAAGAAGGUGCGGCCAACUACGUGCCAGCAGCCGCGGUAAU
rnacentral:rRNA from 1 species